CCCCCGAUAGCUCAAUGGUAGAGCACCCGUGCACUUUAGCAUUCUUUCAUCCGUCCGAUGAAUACUACGGGAGACGUUGGUUCGAGUCCAACUCGGAGGA
rfam:Stereum hirsutum FP-91666 SS1 unplaced genomic scaffold STEHIscaffold_2, whole genome shotgun sequence.